CGUGUAGGCGGCCGAUCAAGUCGGAUGUGAAAUCUCUCGGCUCAACCGAGAAACUGCAUUCGAUACUGGUUAGCUAGAGUGCGAGAGGGGUGAGUGGAACUCCAGGUGUAGCGGUGAAAUGCGUAGAUAUCUGGAGGAACGCCGGUGGCGAAAGCGACUCACUGGCUCGCAACUGACGCUGAGGCGCGAAAGCUAGGGGAGCGAACAGGAUUAGAUACCCUGGUAGUC
rnacentral:rRNA from 1 species